rnacentral:sRNA from 1 species
UCCUGCCGCCCUUUCUAGGGCGUUUCCUCCCUAAACUUCGGGCCGCUUUCGUGAGCGGCCCUUUUUCUUGGCGAGA